GGAAGUAAAAGUUGUAACAAGGUUUCCGUAGGUGAACCUGCGGAAGGAUCAUUAAUGAGUUGUCAUGGGGUUCGAUGCUGGCAGCCAGUUUCUGGAUGCAUGUGCUUGCCCUAACAAUCAUCUUCUUCCAAACACCUGUGCACAUUUUUGAGGGAGUCUUGAGUUGGUUGCCGCUCUUGGGUGAUUUUCUCACAUUCCCUUAAAUCAUUAUACGCUAUUAACAAUGUUGAACGUGCUCUGUGCCGCAAGGCCAUUAAUAUAAUACAACUUUUAACAACGGAUCUCUUGGCUCUC
rnacentral:misc_RNA from 1 species